rnacentral:hammerhead_ribozyme from 1 species
AUUCAGCUGACGAGUCCCAACUAAGACGAAACAUGCAUCCUGAAU